UACGAGGGGGGCGAGCGUUAUCCGGAAUCACUGGGCGUAAAGCGUGCGUAGGUGGCGCGUUAAGUGAGAUGUUAAAUCGUGUGGCUCAACCAUAUCGAUGCAUCUCAUACUGGCGUGCUAGAGGACGGCAGAGGCAAGUGGAAUUGGUAGUGUAGCAGUGAAAUGCGUAGAUAUUACCAGGAACACCAAUGGCGAAGGCAGCUUGCUGGGCCACUCCUGACACUGAGGUACGAAAGCGUGGGGAGCGAACAGG
rnacentral:rRNA from 1 species